rnacentral:rRNA from 1 species
GAUAAACGCUGGCGGCGUGCAUGAGACAUGCAAGUCGAACGGCGACUCGGGCUUGCUCGAGUCGCUAGUGCGAACGGCUGAGUAACGCGUAGGUGACCUGCCCGAAGUGGGGAUAACUGCCCGAAAGGGUGGCUAAUACCGCAUGUGGUCACACGUUCGUUCGUGUGAGCAAAGCAGCGAUGCGCUUCGGGAGUGGCCUG